GCCAUUGCUUCAGUCCCACUAAGCCAAACUUUAACUCUUUACUAAGGCUGAAGUGGAUGAAGUCUCAGCUGGCUCCCAAAGCCUCUGCCCUAGAAGUCCUCCAGGAUGUCUUUGUACUCACCCGCCCCUCGUCCUGCCCAUUCAUGCCUCUCUGCAGCAUCUCACUGGAGAUUCCGUGGAUUUUGAUGUCAGGAAGAUCUCUGGAGAACUUGCCAGCCAGGCAAAGUUUGCUGCUCAGGGCCUGGACUUUUCCGUAGUUGGCCCAGGAGCAAGUCAGGAGGUUAGAGUCCUACUUUCUGCUCUAAGCUCGGCGAAAGACACCCCGCUCCGCCACCCUCUGGGCUGUGGUUCCCUCAUCUGCAACGUGGCAGGGUUGUUCUACAUGGCUUCUGAGACUUCCUCUCCAGUCCCGAACCUGCAGAAGUUUUGAACCCUUUGGCCCCUCGGGUCCUCUGCCGCCUGUGGUCCUCCAGCUUUCCCGAAUCUUUUAGUAAAACUCCCGUGGACAGGUUCUGACUCAUCCACUCGCCUCAGGCCUUCAUUGGCUUUUCCACUUGGGCCCACAUGGAAGAGAGUUUGCAAAACUGCUGUUUUGGGACCGAAGGGAAUAUUCUGCUGUGAAAGAACGUUUUAUGGACUUCAUACAACUGGGACCUUCAACACCGUCACCACCCUUGAAGCAACUGGGGGGCGGGGUGCAGCCGAGUGGGGCUGGUGCACAGCUGUGGCGGACUCCUGGCAUUCUCCACUCCUGGCCAGGCAGCUCUGGAAUCUGGAACAGGACAGGACAUGGUGGGAGCUGCAGGUGGUCCUGAUGUCAUUAAGAGUGAAGAAGAGGUUGAGAGUUUUUGGCUAUCUGCACUCAAUGGGGGAUGUGAAGGAUUCAUUGCAUGGGCUUAUGAAUCUCCAGAUGGCCUCAAAUGUACCAUGUGACUGGGGACAACCUCAUUCUCCUUGUCUCCAUUUCCCAAGUGCUGGGAUCUCAGAUAUGCCUGCCUGCAGAGAUUUCAUAAUGCCCUCAACUCUAUGGAGGAGGCCAGAAGAAGGUGUGAGAUCCCCUGGAACCGGAAUCACAGACAAUGAGACCCAGAUGAUCUGUCUAGGACUUUCAGACAAAGGUCUCACUCUUGAGAAUGAUGGGAAAGAAAGGCAAGGAACACCGGCCCUUGGAUGACAGUAUGGAGGAGAGCCCUCAGCCUGCCUGGAAUGCAGAGGUUGUUUGAAGUGGCAAGGUAUGGCCGCUAAGGCCCUCCCGAAACAUCAUGUCAUCCUGGAAUGUGGGCUGAAGAGAACCUUUGACCUCUGAACUGGGGAGAAGAUGGAUAAUGGCUCGAAGAUCUCCCAGCUUCUCAACCUUUGUCAGUCUGAGAACACAAUCUGGCAGCUGAGUGAUGUGUGUUCGAGGCUGGACCCCAAGAAUGUGGGGCUUGUAUUCACGUCAACAUACAACAACCCAAAGAAAACAAAAAUAAAAGCAAAAUCCAAAAACCAAACCAAAACCCUACACACAAGGAAAAGAAAAAAAAAAAAACCCAAAAAACUCAUUGGGGUGUGGUGACAUACGUCUUUAAUCCCAGCACUUGGGAGGUAGAGGCAGGUGGAUUUCUGUGAGUUUGAGAACCCCCUGGUCUACAGAGUGAGUUUUAAGCCAGAGCUACAUAGUGAGUCUCUGUCCAAAGAAAGAGGACAAACAAACUCAAGUGCUGGGGGAUAUAGCUCAGUGGUAGAAUGCUCACCCCGUGUGCUGGUUAAUUUUAUGUCAACUUGACACAUGCUGGAGUUAUCUGAAAGGAGGGAGCCUCAACUGAGAAAAUGCCUCCGUAAGACCCAGCUGCAGGGAAUUCUUUAAAUUAGUGAUUGAUGAGGGAGGGCCUAGCUCAUUGUGGGUGGGGCCAUCCUUGGGUUGGUGGUCCUGGGUUCUAUUACAAAGCAGGCUGAACAAGCCACGAGGAGCAAGUCAGUAAGCAGUACCCUCCAUGUCCACUGUAUCAGAGUCUGCCUACAGGUUCCUGCCCUGUUUGAGUACCUGUCCUGAUUUCCUUUGAUGAUGAACAGUAACAUGAGGUGUAAGUUAAAUAAAUCUUUUCCUCCCCAAGUUGCUUUGGUCAUAGAGUUUCAUCACAGUGACAGUAAUCCUAACUAAGACACCUCGUAUGAACAAGGCAUUGGAUUUGAUUCCAAGUAAUGUGUGCGCGUACACACACACACACACACACACACACACACACACACACACUCCUCUACAUAGACACAAGGCCCAGAGGGACAAUGUAGAUAGGGAAACUAGAGUAGAAUUUAGCGUCAGGGAGACACAGGUUCAAAUCUCAACUUUUGUCUCUUACUGUUUAUAUGAACUUGAAUAAAUUUCUUCAGCUCUUUGAGCCUAAGUUUCCACUUUAAUAUUAUUUGAAAUUAAGGUAAUGAUACACUCUCACAGAGGUCUAGAGAAGAUUAAAUGACGUAAUUGGUGUUACCUGUUAUAUGCUUCCUGGAACAUAGCCUUUGCUUACAACACAACGCCUUCCUGCUUCUCCCAGUCUUGCUCCUGGCUGACUAUCAUACCUAUA
ensembl:lncRNA